rnacentral:rRNA from 1 species
UACAGAGGGUGCAAGCGUUGCUCGGAAUUAUUGGGCGUAAAGGGCAGGUAGGUGGUCUUAUUUGUCUAGGGUGAAAUCCCGGAGCUUAACUUCGGAAGUGCCUUAGAAACGGUAAGACUAGAGUCCUAGAGAGGUUUGUGGAAUUCCCGGUGUAGCGGUGAAAUGCGUAGAGAUCGGGAGGAAUACCAGCAGCGAAGGCGGCAAACUGGAUAGGAACUGACACUCAACUGCGAAAGCGUGGGGAGCAAACAGGAUUAGAUACCCUGGUAGUCCACGCCGUAAACGAUGGGUACUAGGCUUUAUGGGAAUUGACCCCUGUGGAGCCGGAGCUAACGCAAUAAGUACCCCGCCUGGGAAGUACGGUCGCAAGACUAAA